CUUGGUGAUAACAAUUCUGCCCUAUAGCUGUAUAGAAGAGAGAGCAAAAUGUCCCUUACCAUUUACCCCACCCUCUUAUCCCUUACAGCUCAGUCGUCCUACUCAUCAGAUCUUUCUUCCCUGUGACCUUUCCCAGCACCUCAGGAGUCUGGCUUAGCAAUCACUGCAACUCACAGUGAGAACUGCUGAGACCCACCAGACCAAGAGUACAUUAAAUGUAAAUCCUGGUUCUCCAUAGCUGUUUUAAUUAGCCAAGUACCAACCGUGGAAAAUUUGCAGUAACUCCUCCAAAACAAAUAGAGUACUAUCUACAUACCUUGAAGUUGAAAGUUUACUUUCCUUAUUGAGAAGGGAAAAGAAGAAGAGGCAUGACUGUUUUGUUUUUGGAGAGCCAAGUUCCCUGGCGACUGUGCCAAGGUUCAUUUUGCCAAUUCCUCGUAACAUGGCAGGCCUUAUCUUGGCCUCUCAUUCUGAAAGUGUCCUGACUUUGGAAGCGACAAGGAUGUCAUUUGGGGAAGUACAGCCUUGAUCACUGACCUUGCAUUUUUGAAAAUGGUUUCCAGUGAAAGUGAUUAUGUUAUUUUGAAAUAGAAAAAGCUACACGUAUCACAUCAGCUUCUCAUCUGAUACUUACUGGAGAAAAGUUAUAAUGUACUACAAGCAUAAUACGUUCACAGUAAUUAUACAGGGCUUCAGGAUAACCUUAUUGUUGGGGGGAAAGUAGCAACUUUUUUUAUUUAAAAAAUUUUUUUAAUGUUUAUUUAUUUUGAGGGAGAGAGAGAGAGAGACAGAGCAUGAGCAGGGGAGGGGCAGAGAGAGAGGGAAACACAGAAUCUGAAGCAGGCUCUAGGUUCUGAAGCAAGCUCCGGGAACUCAGAGCGCAAUGUGGGGCUUGAACUCACGAGCCAUGAGAUCAUGACCUGAGCCAAAGUCGGACGCUCCACUGACUGAGCCACCCAGGCGCUCCUGGGAAAGUAGCAACUUAAAACUAUAGAAUAUAAUCAUCUGCAGAACAUAAUUAGCAUUAUCCAGAGAACAGCUGCUGGUGUUUGUGAAGGUCUGAAACUACUCCAAGGGUCAUUCUUUUCCCAGUUGUUGUCAAAGCAAGCCAGCAGCUUCCGGGAAGAUGGUUUGGCACAUUCUUAAAAAAAACUAAAUGUAUUAUUACAUAUGAUCCACCAAUCACUCUCUUUGGUAUUUACCCAAAGGAGGUGAGAACUUAUAUCUACACGAAAACCUACACAUGACUGUUUAUAGUAACUUUAUUCAUAAUUGCCAAAACUUGGAAGCAAUCCAAUAACUUUCACUAGGUAAAGGGAUAAACGUCCUGCAGUACAUCCAGAUAAUGGAAUAUUACUCAA
rnacentral:lncRNA from 1 species